GGGCGCGAGCGCGCCCAUUUUUGAGAAGGAACCUGGCGCGGCCGUGCUAGGUCAGGAAUUUGGAAAUUUUGGAAAGUUUCUAAAGGCAUAUUUUGGCAGAAUUCUACAUGGAAUGUGAUGAAUGGGUAAUAUACCCAUAAAUUAGGUAUAAUUGGAUUUGAUAUAUUGAUAUUUUUAAGUGUAUUAGGGUGGUUUUUAUUUGUUUUAUUGUUAUUUUGUAGGUAGGGAUAAAGCAGGGGCAAUUUGGUAAAAUCAGCAUCAUUAAUGGCAAAGUGGUAAUAUUAUGUAAGGGUCUAGCGCCAAGGCGCUCAAAUAGAGAAGGAACCCAUCACCGGGGCGCUGGGCAUCAGGUGGUUGUGCAGAUUUUGGUAGCAAGAAAAGGAAAAAAACAUAGAUUUCUAUUCCAACUAGGAUUUGGUCAAUGGGCUGACUGGUUGAACACCUUAAGUUAUAAAUAGAGAGGAGGCUAAUGAGGGGAGAAUAUAUAUACAUUGGGACAAAAAACUGAAUUGUUGAAUUGAAGAUUUCAGAAGAUCAUGGCAAGAAGAAUCAAAUUGAAGAUUGAAGAUUGGAGAGCUUCCAUAGAGUUUUUCUUUAGUUCUCUUAUUCAGUUUGUAAUUAAAUUGUGGUGGUUAUUAUGGGAUUUUUGGUUUUAAAUUUCAGCAUGAACUAAUUUUUUAAUUAAGGCUACAAUUGAACCUUUUAUGCUUAUGAAUUGAUUGCCUGUAUUAAUCUAGUUAUUGAUUCAAAUUGAGUUGUCUA
rnacentral:lncRNA from 1 species